AGUGAACGCUGGCGGUAUGCCUAACACAUGCAAGUCGAACGGCAGCACAGUAAGAUCUUGCCCUUACGGGUGGCGAGUGGCGGACGGGUGAGGAAUACAUCGGAAUCUACUUUUUCGUGGGUGAUAACGUAGGGAAACUUACGCUAAUACCGCAUACGACCUACCGCUUAAAUCAGUGGAUCUUCGCACCUUUCCUGACUCAAUUAGCCGAUGUCGGCUUGGCUAGUUUGCGGGGUAAAGGCCCACCAAGGCGACGCUCCGUAGCUGGUCUGAGAGGAGGAUCAGGCAACCUGGAAAUGAGGCACGGUCCAAACCCCUACGGGAGGCCACAGUGAGGAAUAUUGGACCAUGGGGGCAAACCUGAUCCAGGCAUCCCGCGUGGGUGAAGAAGGCCUUCGGGUUGGUAAGCCCUUUUGUUGGGAAAGAAAAACAGCAGGUUAAAACCACGCUGUUCUGACGGUAACCAAAGCAUAAGCACCGGCUAACUUCGUG
rnacentral:rRNA from 1 species